CCAGACUCCUACGGGAGGCAGCAGUGGGGGAUAUUGGACAAUGGGGGGAACCCUGAUCCAGCGACGCCGCGUGAGUGAAGAAGUAUUUCGGUAUGUAAAGCUCUGUCAGCAGGGAAGAAGAAAGUGACGGUACCUGACCAAGAAGCCCCGGCUAACUACGUGCCAGCAGCCGCGGUAAUACGUAGGGGGCAAGCGUUAUCCGGAUUUACUGGGUGUAAAGGGAGCGUAGACGGCAGCACAAGUCUGGAGUGAAAUGCCGGGGCUUAACCCCGGAACUGCUUUGGAAACUGUGCAGCUAGAGUGCAGGAGAGGUAGGUGGAAUUCCUAGUGUAGCGGUGAAAUGCGUAGAUAUUAGGAGGAACACCAGUGGCGAAGGCGGCUUACUGGACUGUAACUGACGUUAAGGCUCGAGAGCGUGGGGAGCAAACAGGAUUAGAUACCCCGGUA
rnacentral:rRNA from 1 species